rnacentral:rRNA from 1 species
GCCUACGGGGGGCAGCAGUGGGGAAUAUUGGACAAUGGGGGGAACCCUGAUCCAGCGACGCCGCGUGAGUGAAGAAGUAUUUCGGUAUGUAAAGCUCUAUCAGCAGGGAAGAAAGAAAUGACGGUACCUGACUAAGAAGCCCCGGCUAACUACGUGCCAGCAGCCGCGGUAAUACGUAGGGGGCAAGCGUUAUCCGGAUUUACUGGGUGUAAAGGGAGCGUAGACGGCGAUGCAAGUCUGAAGUGAAAGGCGGGGGCCCAACCCCCGGACUGCUCUGGAAACUGGAUGGCUGGAGUGCAGGAGAG